UAGCGUAUAUUAAAGUUGUUGCAGUUAAAAAGCUCGUAGUUGGAUUUCUGUUAAUAAUUUACUAUAAAAUAUUUUGAUGAAUAUUUAUAUAAUAUUAACAUAAUUCAUAUUACUAUUUUUUUUAGUAUAUGAAAUUUUACUUUGAGAAAAUUAGAGUGCUUAAAGCAGGCAUAUGCCUUGAAUACUCCAGCAUGGAAUAAUAUUAAAGAUUUUUAUCUUUUUUAUUGGUUCUAACAUAAGAAUAAUGAUUAAUAGGGACAGUUGGGGGCAUUUCUAUUUAACAGUCAGAGGUGAAAUUCUUAGAGUUGUUAAAGACAAACUAAUGCGAAAGCAUUUGCCAAGGAUGUUUUCAUUAAUCAAGAACGAAAGUUUGGGGAUCGAAGACGAUCAGAUGCGUCGUAGUCUUAACC
rnacentral:rRNA from 1 species